GAUGAACGCUGGCGGCGUGCCUAAUACAUGCAAGUCGAGCGAACGGACGAGAAGCUUGCUUCUCUGAUGUUAGCGGCGGACGGGUGAGUAACACGUGGAUAACCUACCUAUAAGACUGGGAUAACUUCGGGAAACCGGAGCUAAUACCGGAUAAUAUUUUGAACCGCAUGGUUCAAAAGUGAAAGACGGUCUUGCUGUCACUUAUAGAUGGAACCGCGCUGCAUUAGCUAGUUGGUAAGGUAACGGCUUACCAAGGCAACGAUGCAUAGCCGACCUGAGAGGGUGAUCGGCCACACUGGAACUGAGACACGGUCCAGACUCCUACGGGAGGCAGCAGUAGGGAAUCUUCCGCAAUGGGCGAAAGCCUGACGGAGCAACGCCGCGUGAGUGAUGAAGGUCUUCGGAUCGUAAAACUCUGUUAUUAGGGAAGAACAUAUGUGUAAGUAACUGUGCACAUCUUGACGGUACCUAAUCAGGAAGCCACGGCUAACUACGUG
rnacentral:rRNA from 1 species